rnacentral:lncRNA from 10 species
AAUCUUCAAAAUGACAUACUCAUAAAGAAAAUAAUAUCAGAAGAUAUAGUAUGUAUUAAAUACAUCUAUUCUAAACUUCCAGGACUCAAGGAAGCCUUUCAAAGGAGUGCUGCAGUCAAACUAGAGAGUUGGGGUUGCCAGUACUUGGACACAAACCAUGAUGCUAACUGAGAGUUUUCUGCUUAUAUGCUUCUCAGAAGGCUGUGAAAAGAAUUACAUUCUGGAUUGGGCCUAGGUUCUUAUGGCAGCUGUAAGCAUUUUAUGAAAGAGAUACUUCCCUGAAACCAUCAGUUUGUAAAUUGGCUUAUGUUUUCUUGUUCUAUGAAAAUUAACUCUUUUUGCAACAAUUUUUUGGAGAAGGAAUUUAUCUAAUAAACAAUUACUUCCAACUUAUUUUGUGUUUAAUGACCCAUGUAUUGGUUGGGGGAACCUAGAUACUAUCCAAAUAAACCCCCAAAUAUGCCAGGUUAAUAAAAUAAAAAAGUAUCUCUUACUUAGGUAGGAGACCAAUGCAGGGGUUCCUUGUCUGUGGUUGCUUUCCUCCUGCUGUGAUCCAAAGACCCAGGACCCAUGCUUCACUUGGCUCCACCUUCCCCUGUUGACUUGCAAGUCUUGUGCUUAAUGCCAGUCCCUGGGUGGUUCCAGGGAUUGGGAAGAAGCCUCCAUUCUGCUUCCAGACACACAGCCACCCCUGGAUGCAAGGAGGCUGGGAAAUAUCCCCAACUGGGUGUCUGCCUCAUGCUACAAUUCCUCACUGUGGAAGGAAAAACGAGGAAC